rnacentral:rRNA from 1 species
CAUGUAGGCGGCAUGACAAGUCUGGUGUGAAAUAUCUCGGCUCAACCGAGAAAACGCACUGGAAACUGUCAUGCUUGAGUAUCGGAGGGGAAGCUAGAAUUCCUGGUGUAGGGGUGAAAUCUGUAGAUAUCAGGAAGAAUACCGGUGGCGAAGGCGAGCUUCUGGCCAGAUACUGACGCUGAGAUGCGAAAGCGUGGGGAGCGAACAGGAUUAGAUACCCUGGUAGUCC